rnacentral:rRNA from 1 species
GACGAACGCUGGCGGCGUGCUUAACACAUGCAAGUCGAACGGAAAGGCCCUGCUUUUGUGGGGUGCUCGAGUGGCGAACGGGUGAGUAACACGUGAGUAACCUGCCCUUGACUUUGGGAUAACUUCAGGAAACUGGGGCUAAUACCGGAUAGGAGCUCCUGCUGCAUGGUGGGGGUUGGAAAGUUUCGGCGGUUGGGGAUGGACUCGCGGCUUAUCAGCUUGUUGGUGGGGUAGUGGCUUACCAAGGCGUUGACGGGUAGCCGGCCGGAGCGGGUGAACGGCCAAAAUGGGAAUGAGGUAAGGACCAGAAUACUAGGGGAGGGAGCAGUGGGGAAUAUUGCACAAUGGGCGGAAGACUGAUGAAGGAACGCCGCGGGGGGGAUGAAGGCCUUCGGGUUGUAAACCGCUUUCGCCUGUGACGAAGCGUGAGUGACGGUAAUGGGUAAAGAAGCACCGGCUAACUACGUG